CGGAACCGCAGGAAAACUUCCCCCAUUCCACCCAUGGAGGACUCCACUAAUUUUUUUUUUGGUGUUAAAUGGCUUGUGUGUGUGUGUGUGUGUGUGCUCUUGUGCUAACAGAUAUAUAGGGAGAGGAAUCUUCUGUUUAAGUUGGAAUACAACAAAGAGAGGUUUCCAGGAAGGAUCACACAUGUUUUUCUUAAGAGUCCUGUGACCUGUGGGAGAUUUAUAACUGCUGCAAAGAAACAGGUGCCAGAACCAUCGUGAUAUAUUGGGGAAAUUCCGUUCCACCGAGAGGAAUCCAGCUACGGGGAGCCCGGGCGGAUCCACGACUUUGAACAGAACUCAGGCAAAUUUUAGUGCCAGCUUCCUUUUUGAGCUGACAUCCAAAAUACUUUCAUUACUAAAAUGACUUUUUCUUUUUUUCCUUUUUUUUUUUACCCCGGUUGACCGCUGUGGAUGGGAACUUCGGAUCUGAUUUGCAAGGUCCCUUAAAAUAUAAGAAGCGAUGGCACUGCAAAGGAACACAGUGCACCUUUUAUAUUCCCGAUGUGCAUCACAGCAGAAGAGAUGAACUGCACCAUGAAUGAUCAAUAGAUGUCUUGUAUGAGGGGGGUUGGCCCAGGCCAGCUCUUGAACAAGCAAUAGAUAUUCUUCCACUCCUAGUCAGUCCAUCCAGCCCUAGACCACCAGUCUGUCAUCAUAGAUGGAAAUAACUCCAUCUGUUCCAAAGACUGCUAGCUGCCACAAGGAACAUGGAAGUAAAAUUAAUAUCACAUGCCUCAAAAAUAAGAAGCGACGCUAGCUUUUUAAAGGAGAAGUGCACUACCUGAGAACUGGACAUCUAGGCACUUUUCAAGCUGCUUGCAUGCCUUGGUGGAGAAGCUGGCAGGAAUAUGCAAUCACCGCCUUUUUUUGCUCCAUUUUGGGGGAUAUAAUUCUCCCCACCCUCACAUUCAUGAGAUCUCUCCCUCUGUCUCUCUCUCUCCAGUGUCAUAAAUAAGAUCAAAGCCCCAAGCCUCCAUUUGUACCUCUUCAUGGGGCUAUCAGUUCAAACCUCCCUGAAGCUGUUUACUGCAGCUGAGAGAUACUGAUAUUUCCCAUCUCCUUCCCUCCUGGAGAGUUGGCCACCCCAGAGUAAGAGUCUCAUCCAAACCACCUCAUCUCCUUCAUAAAGUCCUAGAAAACAAGGCCAGAAAAUGCCAGUUGGCUCAGCCAGCUCAUCCCCCGGUAGGUUUGCUCUCCGCAUCUAAUUUGUUCUCAUAUACCGUAUCUGCAGCUGCAGCAGCCCUUCCUCUCCCGUGAGUUUUCCAAACUAUGGGCCACCUCCUAUCAUGGGGAGAGAAAAGGCAUAAAAGGAGUAAUUUCCAAAUGGGCCUAAUUUGGGGAAACAAUGAUAAAAUUUGAGAAAACAAUGAUAAAACUUAGCCAGAACGUUAACUUUGGACCGCAGUGGGUGCUACCAUCCAGCUGUGAGGCUCACCACAAAGAACUUGUGAAAGAAAGUCUGGGUUUUGCUACUUGUUGCUCCAUAGUGAACUCUGCAGUGUCAGCUGGCAUGAAGAGCAAAAUGACCCCUUCCCUCGCUGCUUUUCCCGUAUCUCCCAGCAGGGUCCGGUGGCUGGUGGCGCGGUUCCAAAGAGACCCGUGAUUGAUGUACAAAUAUGUAAUAGUGGGGAAAAAAAUCUCACUGCUUCUUCAUGUCUAAUUCCCACUGAUUUGCAGGCUUCAUACCAAAACACUGCUGGGAGUAACCAAGUAAGUUUCCUCUCUCGGACAUCUCGCUGCAGAGGAGAUGGAUAGAUCAACAGGAUUUCAGCUCAUGCUUAUUAAGCAAUGGUUUUUCAUUUGUUUGCAAAGGCACAUCAAUGGAGCUGUUGUCUCCCAAGUUACUGCAAGACUGGAAUUAAUAAAAGAUCAUUGUUAAUGUGUAGAAAUAGAAGCUUUCGCAACCACGUACAGCCAAACUAGAGGUCAAUAUUGGACUUACCGAUUGCUUUCAAAGUCAAGUCCUCCCAUUCUGUUCCUAUAACGUCCUCGCCAUGAGGGUGUUCAAGAAAUACACUAUAAGAUGCAAUUAUGA